CCCUUAGAUGUUCUGGGCCGCACGCGCGCUACACUGAUGCAUUCAACGAGUUUUUCCUGGUCCGAGAGGAAUGGGUAACCUUUUGAAAGUGCAUCGUGCUAGGGAUAGACUAUUGCAAUUAUUGGUCUUCAACGAGGAAUUCCUAGUAGACGUAGUUCAUCAGACUGCAUCGAUUACGUCCCUGCCCUUUGUACACACCGCCCGUCGCUCCUACCGAUUGGAUGAUCCGGUGAGCGUUCGGACCGUGGCCUUUGGACGGUUCGCCGUCUGUUGGCUGCGGGAAGUUCGUUAAACCUUAUCAUUUAGAGGAAGGAGAAGUCGUAACA
rnacentral:rRNA from 1 species